CAGCAGCCGCGGGAAUACGUAGGGUGCGAGCGUUAAUCGGAAUUACUGGGCGUAAAGCGUGCGCAGGCGGUUUUGUAAGACAGGCGUGAAAUCCCCGGGCUCAACCUGGGAAUGGCGCUUGUGACUGCAAAGCUAGAGUGCGGCAGAGGGGGAUGGAAUUCCGCGUGUAGCAGUGAAAUGCGUAGAUAUGCGGAGGAACACCGAUGGCGAAGGCAAUCCCCUGGGCCUGCACUGACGCUCAUGCACGAAAGCGUGGGGAGCAAACAGGAUUAGAUACCCGAGUAGUCCCUGUCUCUUAUAC
rnacentral:rRNA from 1 species